UCCGUAGGUGAACCUGCGGAAGGAUCAUUACAAGUGAAGUGUCCGCCCUAACCGGGCGGACGUCACCCACCCGUGUAUACAUACCUUUGUUGCUUUGGCAGGCCGUGUCCUGCACCGCGGGCUCUGCCCGCGUGUGCCUGCCAGAGGACCAAACUCUGAAUGUUAGUGAUGUCUGAGUACUAUAUAAUAGUUAAAACUUUCAACAACGGAUCUCUUGGUUCUGGCAUCGAUGAAGAACGCAGCGAAAUGCGAUAAGUAAUGUGAAUUGCAGAAUUCAGUGAAUCAUCGAAUCUUUGAACGCACAUUGCGCCCUUUGGUAUUCCGAAGGGCAUGCCUGUUCGAGCGUCAUUUCACCACUCAAGCCUAGCUUGGUAUUGGGCGCCGCGGUUUUCCGCGCGCCUCAAAGUUUCCGGCUGAGCUGUCCGUCUCUAAGCGUUGUGAUACAUAUUCGCUUCGGAGUGCGGGCGGCCGCGGCCGUUAAAUCUUUCACAAGGUUGACCUCGGAUCAGGUAGGGAUACCCGCUGAACUUAAGCAUAUCAAUAAGCGGAGGA
rnacentral:rRNA from 1 species